UACGUAGGGGGCAAGCGUUGUCCGGAAUCAUUGGGCGUAAAGCGCGUGUAGGCGGCUCGGUAAGUCCGCUCUGAAAGUCCAAGGCUCAACCUUGGGAUGCGGGUGGAUACUGCCGGGCUCGAGUCCGGAAGAGGCGAGUGGAAUUCCUGGUGUAGCGGUGAAAUGCGCAGAUAUCAGGAGGAACACCAAUGGCGAAGGCAGCUCGCUGGGACGUGACUGACGCUGAGGAGCGAAAGCGUGGGGAGCGAACAGGA
rnacentral:rRNA from 1 species